AAAUACACAAGAGAAAUCAGUGUCAUUAAGGCUUUUUAACUAACUAUACAUAGAUUUCCAUAGAUUGUAAUGGCAAUAUAAUGUGUGUUACGAGUAAGUUAUGUGUGUUUGAGAAUGUAUUUACAGUCUCUGUGGAUAAAGAAGUAAAAAAAUUGUUGGAAAAAAACUUCAUAAAAGACUGCAUAUAAAUGCUGUAAUGCCAAAAGGAAAAUACUGGGUUAGGCAGCCAAUGAGAACAGACAAAAGAUAUUGCCGACAGAAACGAUGGUGAAAGCAUUAGAGAACAAAGAAUCUUUACAACAAGUGAAGUGAAGAAACUCAAAGUCGCGAUAACCUAGAUUCACAGCAAGCAUGACGAAUUCAUGGUGGUUCAGUUAAAUUUAAAAUAUAAAAUUAUUGAUAGAUAGACAAUUGUCAACCAGGCCUUAACUUUUGCAAUCUUAAAGUUAAAGUCCAAUAGACAAGUAAAAAUUAGGGCCUAAAAAUAUUUUUCCGUUCGACUUCCUUUUGAAUAUUUUUCAUUUUGUGUCGUAGUGUAAAACGUUUGUAAUAUUUUUUUGCAUAUUGGGAAAAGCUGCCAAAAGGGAACAAAUCCAUAGUUCAGCUUGUUUUGAUUAACCACAAAAAAAGCUUAGGGAUGAAUUUCCCGUAUUUAAAAGCAAUCCAUACACAUUGUUUCAGUAAAUUCGGUCUUUGAAAAAACACGUUUGGGGAGAUAAUUUACCCGCAUUAAGAAGCAAUCCAUACAAGCAAUCCAUGAUAUUCAGUUCUUUUAGUAAAUUCGGUCUUUAGAAAAAACAUUUACGGAGAUAAUUUACCGGUAUUAAGAAGCAAUCCAUACAUAUAAAAUUCAGUUGUUUUAGUAAAUUCGAUUUUUGAAAUAUAUAUAUAUAUAUAUAUGAACACAAAUUGUAGCUAUAGGAAUAACCAACAAGAUAGAUGACUACAUCAAGAAUUAAGUAAAAAGAUUUUAUUAUUUAAAAUUUUCGUCAGUUCAUCGACUGACUUCUUCAGUAUCGCUUACAAUACAGUAUUAACAAUUAAAAUAUCUUAUAUAGUGAUAAAAAUAAAUUAUAUACAAUUAAAUACACAAGGGUUUAAAACUGGUUUCCAUCACCAUCAUCCUACUAUCAACUUAACACACGGUUUCUACAACUUGCAUUUUUCUGUUCUUUUAGUUCUAUUCCAGUCAUGAGAACCAUUAAGUCCCUGAUGUUGUGUGACGAGUGUCCCUAUCCAGAAUUUUUCUUUAUCUAAUAGCAAACUAUCAAUUUGCCUGUUUGUUAAAUUCUCUCCAUUGUUCACAACAUCAACUAUAAUAAACCCAAUAUUUUGCACGGAGGCAUUAGGGCAUUCAUCAAUAAAAUGUUUCACAACUUUGCAAGAUGGUAUCUUCUUUUUAAUGUGGGAUUUGUAAUUCGAAAGUCGAGGCUUCCAAGCAAUGUAAAAAUAUAUAAAAAAACAAGGACAGACUUAGCAACGUCAACGUUACGCAACUUUCAAAAUGGCCGUAAUAACACUGCUCUCUGCUUUACACAUCCCUUUGUCGUGGCUGCAAAAUCUCGGAUUGGUUUUUCAAAAAAAAUCAGGCGUUGCAAUUGAAUGCUACACGCGGGAGAAUAAAACAAAGUCGGUAAAUAUAUAUCGCAUUUGGUAUUUUGUGCAGAUA